UUGUCCCAUCUCUAGCUGCUCUAUUUGUUGAUAUGAACAGCUGAAUAAUAAUCAUAUUUGGUUAAAAACAAUUAUGCGAUUUAACGCAGCCGCCUUAUAGCGCCCGUGCCACGCCCUCUGCGAUGCGAACAGGCGACCAAGCCAAGGUGUCGCCACGAAUCCUGCAAUCGAGAAACCAAGUCGAAGGUUCGGAAUAAGUAGUACAAAUAAGUCAGUAAAUUCCGGGGAAAAUACAUUAAAAUAUGUCUACGGAGGAGCAUGUGUGGCGAGCACACAUCGUGCGACGAUUACGCGAACGCAACCGUAAGGAGUGCGACAACUUUAAGGAGAUCAUCGAGCAAAACAACCGACUGAUUGACCAUGUGGCGCAACUCAAGGCGGACAACCUUAAGCUGUCCGUGGAAAACGAGCAGCUCCGCAGCGCGGUGUCAACAGGUGGCACCGGUUCCAACGUGGCCAUCGCCACCCUCGAAAAGAAGCUGCUCAGUCAGCAGGAAGAACUCACCGACUUGCACAAACGCAAGGGUGAGAACUCCCAGAUGAUCGUAGACUUGAACCAGAAGGUGGAGCAGCAAAGGAUCACGAUUUCUGAGAAGGAGCACAGCCUCGCCGAACAGCAAACGAAUAACAAUCGAUUGCGGGCUGAAGUGCAGUUACUCCACUCAAGUUUGGAGGAACUUAAAAAACUAAACAAUACCAUGCUGGAUGAGCACACAGCGCUUCAAUUAGCAUUUAGCUCACUCGAGGACAAACUGAGAGGAGUACAAGACGAAAAUCGGCGUUUACUGGAGCGGCUAAUGCAAUAUAAGUCAAAGGAUGCCGACAAGUUGAAUGAGGAAAACGAGAGCAUAAUAAGAAAAAGACUGCCGUCAAUUUUCAGGAAACGUUCGGCCAAACUGAAACGUGACUUGGAAGACGCGGUCCGUGAGCCCGGCACGUCCACGAAUACCGCAUCUUCGCCCGGUGCAGCGUCCUUGCAGCGCAACUCCAGUCCCGCCCAGUUCGUUGGGGGUCUCAUCGGGGACGAGGACUUCGACGAGGCGACGAUAAAUGGCGCCAUGGAAGCCAUAGGUCUCGAUGAUAAUGAAUAUAUUAGCGCUCGUUUUACAGCAGGCGAGGUCUGUGAGAACUCCCGAACGUCUAUCGACACUCUAAAGGCCACGGGCUACUUGGGUCAGGCCAAUCCGACCAAGAUCCUUAUGAAAUUCGAGGCGCACGAAAACGAGUCGCACGCGGUGCGCUGGAGUCCCGUGGAGCGCAUGGUGGCCACCGGUGGCGCCGAUCGCAAAGUCAAACUUUGGGAUAUUGGCAAAAAUUCCACUGAGCCACGAGCUGUUUUGAGUGGGAGCAGUGCAGGGAUUAAUUCCGUAGACUUUGAUUCAACAGGUGCCUAUAUAUUGGGCACCUCAAAUGAUUACGGUGCCAGAGUAUGGACGGUGAUAGACAAUCGGCUAAGACACACGCUGACGGGUCACAGUGGCAAAGUGAUGGCCGCCAAAUAUGUCCAAGAGCCCAUUAAAGUGGUGACCGGAAGCCAUGAUCGCACUCUGAAGAUCUGGGAUUUGCGCAGCAUCGCCUGCAUAGAGACGAAAUUCGCCGGAUCGAGUUGCAACGAUCUCGUCACCACCGACAGCCUGGGAUCAACGAUUAUCAGCGGGCAUUACGAUAAGAAGAUCCGGUUCUGGGACAUUCGUACCGAGAAGCAGGCAGAUGAUGUCUUGAUGCCAGCCAAAAUCACCUCCUUGGAUUUGUCAAAAGAUUGUAAUUACCUCAUAUGCUCUGUAAGAGACGAUACUAUUAAAUUAUUAGAUUUACGCAAAAAUCAAGUUAUAUCCACGUUUACAAACGAACACUUUAAAAUCAGCUGUGAUUUUGCUCGAGCUUCUUUCAACUCGAGCGGCCUAAAGAUUGCAUGUGGAUCGGCGGAUGGCGCUAUAUAUAUUUGGAAUGUGAAUGGUUUCCUAGAAGCCACUCUCAAGGGACACAGCACUGCGGUAAAUGCGGUCAGCUGGAGUCCCAACAAUAAUUCGCUGGCUUCCGUUGGCAAGAACAAACGAUGCAUCAUAUAUUCGGAUUCAUAACCCUAAUUGUUGCCAUAAACGUCAGUCAGUUCCAUUUUACUGAAACGCUUGUAGUCAGAGCUGUAAUCAAUAACGGCCAUGCGGAGUCUGCUGUAAAUAGUAAAUUCGGUUGGCGAAUGGUCAAGCACCUGUAUUUAGCUAGAAAAGAAUGCACGCCGAUUUCAGACAAUAAUGCUCAGCCAACAAAACUUCUUAUGCAUCCUUCGUCGAACGUGAUGCAUUUUAAUUUCUGCAUAUGUGAUCAAUUCUUAGCACGAACGUUGUGCCAUUGGCGAACACAUCCAAUUAUUUCGUGUGCUAUGCUGACGGAGCACAAUCGACACUGGGAAUCUCUAAUUGAGCGAGGAAAAUAACCACGGCACCAUCAUUACAAAUCUAACGUACAUUCAUUUUUAUCGCCUUGCAUGCGUGCUUUAAUUAAGAAUCUUUUCAGAUUAUGCCUCGAAAACAACUACAACUUAGCGUUAAGUACCGCCAUACGAUCUAAAAUCUUGUGGCGCUCUUAAGUACUCGUAUUUGUACUUGAGGUAGUGUCGUUGAAGGCGCAUUGCUAAGUAAAUUAAUUGAGAGGAAUCCAGUCAUCCAGAGUAGGACCGAGUGACGGGCAGACGAUUGGACAGGGACAGGAGUCACUUUCCCGUAUGCGAGAGCGUUCCUCCAGCAGAUAAAGAUACAAAUCUGCACGAAGCCUGUUUCCUGUUGUGCUGAGGGUGCAUUUAUUUGCAUGAUUCACACAAGCGUCGAGGCUAACGAUACUUAUACAGCUGCUGGAUGGUCGUACAGGUGUACGCCAUCACCAUCGCCAUCGCCAUGCUCUAUGCUCGAAGUUCCAAACUCCAAGCCCCAAACUCCAUACUCCAUGCUCCAUACUCCAUGCGCCAUAAUGAAGAUGGGACGUCGAGGCGCUGGGAAAACUUACGAAAACAAGCACGACAUUUGGACCUUUCUGCCGCCUCUCUGCCCACAUCGAAAAGUGAAUCGGUGCCUUCCCUUCCUCGUUUUUGUGCUUAGGAUUUGGAUUCUGGCGAGUGUGUCGUGCAUUUUGGGCGACUCUAAGUGAGCAUGUUCCUGGAAGCCCUCGAGUCGCUUUUACAGUUGGAUGCAUUUUAAGUUUUAUUGAAGUAUAAAUAAUAAUUCGCAGGUGUCUGCAUUCCGACUCCAAUUCGCACAGUUUGUUAUGCGUGGGUAAAAGGCUAGGCAGUCAGACUUUUGUUCAUCCAUUCCCAUAUAGUAUAUACGAAUAUGUUUAUAUGGUGCUCCAAAUGCAAGCAGUAAAAAUGUUAAUAUAUUAUUGCUUUAUUUCCCCCAUAGAAAGUUCAUUUCCAUAUAUGUUUAUUCCACGAGCAUUUUGUUCCGUAACAAGAAACUCGUAGCCCAACCGCCAAAAGAGAACACAACGAUUGAAAUUCAUUAAAAAUCUUAAUCUUUAAUAAUAAUAAGAUGAGUUUCGUUCCAUAAAAUUAAAGGGUCCAAUGCAAACAUUAAACUGUCAUUGAUAUGUAAUAAAUUAAAGUGCUUAACUAAA